rnacentral:rRNA from 1 species
UAAUACGUAGGGUGCAAGCGUUAAUCGGAAUUACUGGGCGUAAAGGGUGCGCAGGCGGUACUGUAAGUCAGAUGUGAAAUCCCCGGGCUUAACCUGGGAAUUGCGUUUGAAACUACAGAACUAGAGUGUAAUAGAGGGAGACGGAAUUCCAUGUGUAGCAGUGAAAUGCGUAGAGAUAUGGAAGAACAUCGAUGGCGAAGGCAGUCUCCUGGAUUAACACUGACGCUCAUGCACGAAAGCGUGGGGAGCAAACAGGAUUAGAUACCCUGGUAGUCCACGCCCUAAACUAUGUCAACUAGUUGUUGGGCUUUAAAAAGCUUAGUAACGUAGCUAACGCGUGAAGUUGACCGCCUGGGGAGUACGGUCGCAAGAUUAAAACUCAAAGGAAUUGACGG